UGAACAGGUCGGGCGGUCGCUGCUGAUUCAAAAGUCAGGAGAGGAAAGUCCGAACACCAAAGGGCAGCGGGCCCGCUAACGGCGGGGCGUCUGAUAAAUCUCAGAUCACAGUUUUCAAUUCCUGGAACGAAAACGGAAUUCCGGGUAGGGUCGGCAUGAUCACCGCCGGAUUGAAAGUUGUAAUCUGGGAUUAAUUGGACGACGACAAGUGCAACAGAAAGCAAACCAGCCUGCUGACAUCUGAGAUCUCAAAUUUGAAAUCUGAGAUUUGAAGCAGGUGAUGGGUGAAACGGUGCGGCCCCCAGGGGCUUAAAGUAAGAGCGCACCGGCGCGUUUGGCGACAGACGCGGCCAGGCAAACUCCUCGCGGUGCAAGAUCAAAUAGGGAGGCGUCAACAGGGCUGCCCGCCCGAAACAGUUCUGAAAUUUGAGAUCUCAAAUCUGAGAUCUCAAAAAAAGGGCUGGUACGACCUCCGGGUAGAUCGCUUGAUCCAACUGGCAACAGUUGGACUAGAUGAAUGAUCGCCAUCCCGAUGCGAAAUCAUCGGGACACAGAAUUCGGCUUAUAGACCUGUUCUACUU
rnacentral:RNase_P_RNA from 1 species